CAGCUGCUAUUCUGCAGUAACAAUAUUGAGAGUGGGGAAUGUUUAGGAGAAGCAUAAAAAUGUCACUGCUCAAUUGUUUUAUAGAGCUCGCAUGCCUCAGCUUUGCCGCAUAGGAGCCCAGCUGAAUGUUUGCCACGAGCUUGGAAGCAGGUCUUUAGGCCAUGGGAUCUCCUAUCUUUAAAAGACCUUGGCACCAGUGGUAUUAAUGCAACCUCUGCUGGCUGUGGUUGCGUGGAGAUGAAGCCUGAAGUCCCUGCUGUUGCCCUACAACAUGAGUAUAAUUAAGGAUGCAGUGGAACGAAAGCAGCCGCACCAUCCGAGAGAGUGUCAAGUCUUCAAAAAGGGAUGAAGAAGUGUGUUACAAAAAGGAUGGCAGAACUGAAGUCUUCCCAUCCC
rnacentral:lncRNA from 1 species